GUCGGAUGUAUGGGUUUUCCAAACCCGUGUAUAUAAGGCAUCUACAAAACCUAAAUUUCUCUACAGCCUCUUCUCCUUCGCUGCAUCAUACUUGAAACCCUAGGAUUCACAUCUCGGCACUGUUUUAGAUAGGCAAUGAUUGACUAUGAAGAAUGCUCGAUCGCAGAAUGUGGCUGAACCUGUUCAACAACGGUUGGAAUCUUGGCAAGUGCUACAUGGGAUGGUUUUAAUACAUGAGAAAUAAACAAAUAACAGUGCACUCCUGACGGCGCUUAUGGCGCUGGCGGUUUUCCUGCUUUGGGGAUCCAGCCUAACUCAACUUUGGUUUUCGAGAUUGAAGUUCUUCGUGCUCAGUAAACAGUAAAUGAUGCAUGGGUUCUUGAUUCGGUACUACUCUAGACUUGCUAUUAUUAACAUGUAUCCUUACAUUCGUGAUGCUAUUGACAGUAAACAUGUUCUUCUUCAGUGGCAUCCUCAACCCGGUCAAGAAUCUCCACCUGUUCCCUUCCUAAAGGUCAACGAUAAAUGGAUUCUCCCACAAUAAAAAAAACAAUAAUAAAUAUAAGUAAAUAAUCUGUUUCUUAUUGAAUAACCAAACAUCAGCUUUCUCACACUUUUAUUAGAAUUAUUAUUAAUGUGUGCUUUACUUACAUCAAAGAUAUGUUGUUGAUCUACAAUUUCAGAGUGGAAUCAAAUCUUCAUCUUCUGACUUGAUGACUUGAUACAGAGCCGAAAGUGUCGGAUCUGAGUUUGUUCUUUGUUUACCAUUUUAAAAUUCGUUAACAACAUUCUCUUUCAUGAUUUGCAGGGAUUAACACCGGUCGAAGGUAGCAGGUUUCUCAAUGACAUGAUACACACGAGGUACAUGAAUAUGACCAGAUCAAAUGAGAGGUGUGUGUUCUAUGGGAGACCGGUCAAAUACGUGUCAACUCAAUCAAACCCAGUUAACUCAGUCAAAGCGGGUCAACGAGGUCAGACUGAAGCUCGAGGGAUAAGAUUGAGACUCUACAAUAGUAUUGGGACUUUGUUGGUGAGAUCGGGUUACAGUCAACAGAAGGUCAGGACCAGUCAACUGCAGAAACGGAGUAUUCGGGUCACGGUCAACGGUAGUCGGUGUUGAAUUAGUAAGAAAUCCUAAUGUCAACAUCAACUUUGGAAAUUGUCGCACAAUGUCUGCAUCAUCAAUGGUUGGUCUUGCUGAUAGGUCCAACAACAUCUGGCAUGAUGAAGGGAGAAGGAAGGAGGAUUUGCCUAAUAUCGUGUUGUUGCUAAAGGAGUUGGUACACAUGCUAUGAAAUGCACAAACUUAAUGGAGAGGUCGAUACCCUCGAAGUUGAAGAAGUGGAAAAUGAUGUUACGUGGUGGUGAUUACGGUCUUUCUGAUUGUUGCCGAGACAGAGUAGUAGUUCAUCAUCAAAUUUUGGAAGGUUCAUCAUACGCAUCAGUGAAAUUAGUUGUUUUCAGUAGGCUUAUGUUAAAUUGCGCAACCGAACUAGAUGUUUGUAUGGUGACAAGCUAAAAGGGUGUGUUUUACAAAUGGAUUUCUUUGGAUCAAUUGAACCGGUUGGAUGCUUCUUUGGUUGGCGCAAGGGAAAAUGAGAUAAGCAGGUUAUACAUUGCAGGCAAUUUUGUUGGGUUCGAACGAAAGCUUGAACGAAGAUUUAAAAAGCCAGGGAUAAAGCAUGUGGUCUUCAACGAAGAUGCUAGCAACUUUAAGAGAGAGAAAGCUUGAACGAAAAUGGGGAACAAAUCUUAAUUUUGUCUCCUUUCUCCCACUUCCCUUUCUGGGUAUUUUAGAUGAAGACAGUGAUGAUAUGCUAUACGUACCCGGUGUGAUGACCCCAACAGAUGUAUUUGUUCUUUAUUUGCUUCAAGCCCAGUCCAACCCGUAUGUAUUUAUCCAGUUUUAUAAAUAGCCCAAUAUGACCAUCGUUCAGAAUAUAUAGUGGUUUACCUAAUACUCACCAAGAAGUUAUGUAUUGUCAAAGUAACCACAAAUGCUUUUUUGUUAUUUUUUUAGUUUUUAUCUGUUUUUAUGUUGUUUUUGCUGGUGUUUUGCAGCUUUUUGCUGUUUAUUUUACAUUUUUUUGUUGAUUAC